AUUGAACGCUGGCGGCAGGCCUAACACAUGCAAGUCGAGCGAGCGGCGGACGGGUGAGUAAUGUCUGGGAAACUGCCUGAUGGAGGGGGAUAACUACUGGAAACGGUAGCUAAUACCGCAUACCAUCAGAUGUGCCAGGAUGGGAUUAGCUAGAAGGUGGGGUAACUGCUCACCUAGGCGACGAUCCCUCGCUGGUCUGAUAGGAGGACCAGCCACACUGUAACGGAAACACGGUCCAGACUCCUACGAGAGGCAGCAGUGGGGAAUAUUGCACAAUGGGCGCAAGCCUGAUGAAGACAUGCCGCGUGUGUGAAGAAGGCCUUCGGGUUGUAAAGCACUUUCAGCGGGGAGGCGUUACCCGCAGAAGAAGCACCGUCUAACUCCGUGCCAGCAGCCGCGGUAAUUC
rnacentral:rRNA from 1 species